UCUAAAGCUUUUUUCAAAGCUACUUUCAUGUUGAACAAAUAUUUA
rfam:Glossina brevipalpis unplaced genomic scaffold Scaffold42, whole genome shotgun sequence.